UUUAAAUACAACCAUAAAUUUUCAUUUCUAACUUUAAUCGUCUGUCUUAUUUAAAAAUUUGUUAUAAUUAGUUUUUUUUAUUAUGAGAUGAUAAAACAUAAAUGACACUUUAUGUGUGACUUAUGUUUUUAAUUUUUUUAAAAAAAUUUCAAAUAAUACAGAUGAUUAAAGUUGAGUAUGGAAAAGUAUGGCUACACUUAAA
rfam:Oryza meridionalis cultivar OR44 (W2112) chromosome 4, whole genome shotgun sequence.